AGGAGAACCAGGAGCAUAUCCCAGCGAGCUCGAGGCAAAAGGCUGGGGACAGCCUGGAAGGGGUGCCAACCCAUCACAGGGCGCAAUCGCCGACCCACUCGCACACCCCUUCACACACUACAGAAGAUUGGGAAAUGUGGGAGAGGAAACCAGAGUCAUAAAGACAAUGACAAAGAUGAACAACACACUGAUGCAGACAUGCCAGGUGAAGGAAAGGACAAAACCAGGAACAGAACAGACACAGCUGAUGGAGACAAAGAUGAACAGCAACAUGCUGAUGCAGACAUGCCAAGUGAAGGAAAUGAGACGGGGCACAGGAAAGACACAGCUGAUGGAGACAAAGAUGAACAGCAACAUGCUGAUGCAGACAUGCCAAGAGAAGGAAAUGAGACGUGUCUUUCCUGUGCCCCAGCUGAUGGAGACAAAGAUGAACAGCAGCACAUUGAUGCAGACAUGCCUAGUGAAGGAAAUACUGAGACGGGGCACAGGAAAGACACAGCUGAUGGAGAUGAAGACAAAGAACAUGUCGAUGCAGACAUGCCUAGUGAAGGAAAGGACAAGAUCAAAUUUACAAACGAGACUGAUGGACUUAAUGAAAUGGAUAUGGGAUGCAGCACAGAGAAGAACGACAAUCACAUAAACAUAGACUUGCCAAAAGAUAAGAAUGAGAGAGGAAGUAACAAUCAGACUGAACAACACACACAAGAAGUCACCCAACCAUCCAUACCCCAAAAGCGUAAGAAAACCCUUUUGAAGAAUUCAACCCUCCGCAAAUGUGCCCGAAAAAUUUCCAGUGAUGAAGAGUCACCUGUCAAAGAAAAGUCAUUGGUGUCACCUCGCAGACUCCGGAAGAGGGCAGGUGGAUUAAGCCCAGUUGCUGUAGCCAGGAUGCAUAGAGCACUGAAAAUACUUGCAAGAAAAAGGGGACAAAAAAAUUAGGGCCUAAAAUAAAUUCAUUCAUGUUUCUCAUAAACUCGACAUUACUGAUAAUCAAUAAGAAAUUAAAGAAAAGCAGGGAAAGUUGUUCAGUUGGAUUGUUAUUGAUGCUCAAUGGUCUGUGAUUUUUGUUUUAUUUACAAAUUAGGAAUAUAUUUUUUUUUAACUAAUUCAGGAUAAAAGACUUGAAACUUUUGUUUUAAAGGAAGUGGAAAAUGUUCAUUUUCCUGUUUUUAAAAAAAAAAAAAAAAAAGUUUAAUUUGUAAUUAAAAAAAUAUACAUAAUGGUUUUGUAUUGGAGAAACAAAAGCAAAAAUAAAUUUUGUAUUAAUAAAUGUGUUGAAAAGAGUAUUGUUCUGGCAUUUGCUACAUUUUAAUAAUUCAAUUUAAAAGUAUUUAGCUGUAAGCACUGCAGAAAUUGUGAUCAUAGAACCUGAUAAGUGAUGGGAGAGGAUUAUCUCUCUUGUUACUGUACCUCACUAACAUACAUAAAUGAUGGGAACAUUUAGUUCUGUGUCUCAUAGAUUAUGAAGUAAUUGAGAGACCAACGGUAAUAUGCUGGUCCAAGUUGUUCAUUUUGUGAACAGUGCAUUAGAUGUUAUAAACUAUUUUAGAAUUAUGAUUUAAAGAUAUCACUCCAUGCUGCACACCCAAUGCUGCACAUGAUGUUUGUUAGGUAGUUUGCAGUUUUUAAUCGUAAUUCUGGUGGCUUCCACAGUUUUUACUGCACUUGGAAGUAGGAGUGUGCUAAUUGGGGCAAACUCCAGCUCAGCUCAACUCUGCUCUGCUCUCCUAUAGCACCAUUUUCCCUGCAGGCUGAAGAUGUUUGCAAACAACCGUCCACCAGCACGAGACCAACACUUGUACACUUUGGUGGUCCGGGGGAGGAAGAUGUAUGAGCUACUCAGUGGCAUCAAUGAUGCUAUGGAGACCCUCGACAAGAGUCAAGCAGCCCUUAACAAUGUUAAUGAAGCCCUCUUCCAGAGCAUCAGUCCUUUUAAGGAGGCCUCUGACGAUGGUCGUGGAUCCACUGGCCACAGUGCGAGUGAUGUUAUGGAGGCCCCUGACGAUGGUCAAGUGUCCCCCGAUGAUGUUCAUGGAUCCCCUGGCCACAGUCUGAGUCAUUGUAUGGAGGCUAGGACUGCUGAGAAGGAUGGUAACAAAGGUCCAUGAAGAGGAAGCCAUGGUAAAGAGUGCACCUUCAGACUGAGAUUCAUAAACAUGCACAUACAUGUGAUCAUACACACAAAUCAUCCACAUGUACACCACACAACACACUCUAUAGACAGACAGAUAGACACACACACACACACACACACAAACACACACAAUAUUGACUUUAAAUAAAAUCCCAGUAAAGAAA